CGCUGGCGGCGUGCUUAACACAUGCAAGUCGAACGAUGAAGCCCAGCUUGCUGGGUGGAUUAGUGGCGAACGGGUGAGUAACACGUGAGUAACCUGCCCUUAACUCUGGGAUAAGCCUGGGAAACUGGGUCUAAUACCGGAUAGGAGCGUCCACCGCAUGGUGGGUGUUGGAAAGAUUUAUCGGUUUUGGAUGGACUCGCGGCCUAUCAGCUUGUUGGUGAGGUAAUGGCUCACCAAGGCGACGACGGGUAGCCGGCCUGAGAGGGUGACCGGCCACACUGGGACUGAGACACGGCCCAGACUCCUACGGG
rnacentral:rRNA from 1 species